ACGAACGCUGGCGGCGUGCUUAACACAUGCAAGUCGAACGGUGAAGCGCCUUCCUUUUUGGUGGGUGUGGAUGAGUGGCGAACGGGUGAGUAACACGUGAGUAACCUGCCCCCUUCUUCUGGAUAACCGCAUGAAAGUGUGGCUAAUACGGGAUAUUCUGGGUCUGUCGCAUGAUGGGUCUGGGAAAGAUAUUGUUUCGGUGGGGGAUGGGCUCGCGGCCUAUCAGCUUGUUGGUGGGGUGAUGGCCUACCAAGGCGGUGACGGGUAGCCGGCCUGAGAGGGUGGACGGUCACACUGGGACUGAGACACGGCCCAGCCUCCUACGGGAGGCAGCAGUGGGGAAUAUUGCACAAUGGGCGCAAGCCUGAUGCAGCGACGCCGCGUGAGGGAUGGAGGCCUUCGGGUUGUGAACCUCUUUCGCCAGUGAAGCAGGCCUGCCUCGUUUGUGGGUGGGUUGACGGUAGCUGGAUAAGAAGCGCCGGCUAACUACGUG
rnacentral:rRNA from 1 species